AUCAUAGUCAGAAUAACAAAAAUGAUAAUGAUAAUAACAACAAUAAUGACACCAACAAAGGCACCGUCUUCUCCUCAAUGUCGUGACGGCCGAGAUCUCGCUUUUUCUUUCUUUUUUCUUUUUUUUCAUUCAUAAUAUUGUUAUUAUUAUUAUA
rnacentral:ribozyme from 1 species